rnacentral:hammerhead_ribozyme from 1 species
GUACUGCCAAGGAGUCCAAAUUGGGACGAAACAGCUGUCCAGUAC